GACCGCGUAGCUCAGUUGGCAGAGCAUUGGGCUAGUAUUCCGAAGGUCGUAGGUUCGAUUCCCACCGUGGCCG
rnacentral:tRNA from 1 species